GUCCCACGCGCGCCACCCCGUGCGUCACAGAAUGGGGCGGGAUGUUCCGCUGGCCACGCCCCUUAAAUAACACUCUGUGAAGCCGUGGUCUUCUUGCGCGGGAUAGGGCACCUGAGGAAGCGGGCUGCGCCUGUGGCACAGUGGUACGGGGCCGGAAGAUAACUUACCUGAAGAGGCGAUCAAUCCCUGAGAAUCGCGGGCGACCCGUUUUUUGUGUGCCCGGGUGCGGGGUGCCGGGACACGGCGUUGAAGGCGCUGAGCGGAGGGAUCUCAGGGCGAGCUCGAGCGGCGACGGCGCGCUCUGUGAUUGCACCGCGAGCGCCUGAGGUGAUCUCGGCCUACAUCGCGUCAGCGGGGCCUUGGGCGUGAGCACCGCCCCCUGUCCGGACGCAGGGUACUGGGGCACCUCGAACUGUGGCACCUCACCCUUCUCCGGGGCCACGUCUUGGGGACUCCGACAGCCCCAAAUAAGCCCUCGGGGACUGGGGUUGUGAAAAGCGAGGUCGUGAAGACGCCGGCCUCAUACCGAAGGGUAGGACGGUGAGGUCAGCCCCGUCCCACUCCAACUAAAAUCAACCUGACAGGAGGUGGUUCAGGAAAACGGUCCCAUUUGGCACCUCAAGUCUAGGUCCCUCAAGUCUCUACAACAGUAUGCAAAGAAAAUGUUCAUCUUCAUUCUUCUUAUAGUUUUCUGGUAACUUACUGAACCAAGCGCACACACACUCUCCAAGGACAAACAUUUUUCAGUGCUGGGACAAUGCAAAUUCAGCUCUCGGCAGACUACUACACACUGUGCAUGAUAUACCAAGACUAAAAGACUCAUAACCUACCCGCAGAAAGAGUGCAUCUUCCAUAGUAGCUCUGCAAAAAGAUCCAAAAGAAACUGUUAAUGGCCUGGCUUAAGUCAAAUUGUGUCCGGAAUUGGUGGGUUCUUCGUCUCACUGACUUCAAGUAUGAAGCCGACCCUCACGGUCAGUGUUACAGCUCUUAAGAUGGCGCCUCUGGAGUUUGUUCCUUCUGAUGUUCGGAUGUGUUCGGAGUUUCUUCCUUCUGGUGGGAUCGUGGUCUCGCUGGCUCAGGAGUGAAGCUGCAGACCUUCGCAACUUCCUUCCAGAGGAAGAUGUUGACUCUAAUGUAUUCUGUCUAGGAUGUGUUUCAUAAAUCUGGUUAGAAGAUUUCCCUUCCAGCAUCAACAAAUUGUUUUCUAAAUGUGGAAAAAGAGACAUUCAGUACAGGCUAACGUAACGUGGGACAGCAUGCAAAGCCAUGAGAAGUGGGAAAAUGAGAGAGAAUCUGGGCGUGGCUUACAGGGCUGCUGAACUUACCUUGUAUUCAUGAAGUAUGCGAUUUGUCCAGUGAGGUGCCUUACUUUUCAGUUUGGUAACAGGAGAAUCUGUACUAUUUCAGCAUGUCCUCCUCCAGCAGCAAAAUGAAGAGGAGA
rnacentral:lncRNA from 1 species